rnacentral:rRNA from 1 species
UACGGAGGAUGCGAGCGUUAUCCGGAUUUCUUGGGUUUAAAGGGUGCGGAGGCGGACUGUCAAGUCAGCGGUAAAAUACGGGGGCUCAACCUCCGCCCGCCGUUGAAACUGGCUGUCUUGAGAUGUCGAGAGGUAUGCGGAAUGCGUGGUGUAGCGGUGAAAUGCAUAGAUAUCACGCAGAACUCCGAUUGCGAAGGCAGCAUACCGGCGCCCGACUGACGCUGAAGCACGAAAGCGUGGGUAUCGAACAGG